rnacentral:rRNA from 1 species
GUGCCAGCCGCCGCGGUAAUACGUAGGUGGCGAGCGUUGUCCGGAAUUACUGGGUGUAAAGGGCGUGUAGGCGGGAAUACAAGUCAGAUGUGAAAUACCGAGGCUUAACUUCGGGGCUGCAUCUGAAACUGUGUUUCUUGAGUGUCGGAGAGGAAAUUGGAAUUCCCAGUGUAGCGGUGAAAUGCGUAGAUAUUGGGAGGAACACCAGUGGCGAAGGCGACUUUCUGGACGAUAACUGACGCUGAGGCGCGAAAGCGUGGGGAGCAAACAGGAUUAGAAACCCUUGUAGUCC